rnacentral:rRNA from 1 species
CCUACGGGGGGCAGCAGUGGGGAAUAUUGCACAAUGGGCGAAAGCCUGAUGCAGCAACGCCGCGUGAAGGAAGAAGGGUUUCGGCUCGUAAAGCCCUAUCGGCAGGGAAGAAGAUGACGGUACCUGACCAAGAAGCCCCGGCUAACUACGUGCCAGCAGCCGCGGUAAUACGUAGGGGGCAAGCGUUAUCCGGAUUUACUGGGUGUAAAGGGGGCGCAGACGGCAAUGCAAGCCAGGAGUGAAAGCCCGGGGCCCAACCCCGGGACUGCUCUUGGAACUGCAUGGCUGGAGUACAGGAGGGGCAGGCGGAAUGCCUAGUGUAGCGGUGAAAUGCGUAGAUAUUAGGAGGAACACCGGUGGCGAAGGCGGCCUGCUGGACUGUGACUGACGUUGAGGCCCGAAGGCGUGGGGAGCAAACAGGAUUAGAUACCCGGGUAGUC